rnacentral:rRNA from 1 species
UACAGAGGGUGCGAGCGUUAAUCGGAAUUACUGGGCGUAAAGCGCACGUUGGCGGCUUGGUAUGUCGGGUGUGAAAUCCCCGGGCUCAACCUGGGAACUGCAUCCGAAACUGCCUUGCUCGAGUAUGGGAGAGGGAAGUGGAAUUUCCGGUGUAGCGGUGAAAUGCGUAGAUAUCGGAAGGAACAUCAGUGGCGAAGGCGACUUCCUGGACCAAUACUGACGCUCAGGUGCGAAAGCGUGGGGAGCAAACAGG